GCCGGGCGGGGUGACGCACGCCUGUGAUCCCAGCCAGUCUGGAGGCAGAGGCAGGAGGAUCCCGAUUUCGAGGUCAGUCUCCAUAAUGUAGAGAGAUCCCGUUUCAA
rnacentral:sRNA from 1 species